ensembl:lncRNA
GACAAAUAGAGUGAAAGUGACUGGAAUGUCAACAUGUACCUUCGUUUAUCUGUAGUUUAUCAGAUACCAGUCAAGACUAAGAUGAAUCUGUGCUAAGGGUGCAGCAGCCUUCUCACUGUCCUAACUGGGCUCAGUUUCUAACAGGGCAAGGGUUUGUCUUCAUCAGGCAUGUUGCUGAAAAGGUGAUAGCUUCCCCCAGAUAGCCAGGCUGUUGCAGGAGGCCGUGUCUGUUCUGCAGGAAACGUGGGGGGAAUUCUGACUGCCUAUACCUCAUGCCUUACAUACACCAGAGGGGAAUACAUCAGUCCCUGGUUUUCAUUUAGAGCUGCUUGCUCUGAUUCUAUUAAGUAUUUAAAAAUAUUACAUGUUAAAUAUUUUAAAAUACUAAACAUUAAAAUAUUUUAAUAAGGUUUGGUUGUUAAAAGCAUUGAAGUAGAUCUUGUAGCCCUGGAAGGGCUUUUGCUUUUGACAACAAAGAGAAGAAACCCUUACUUUUACAAUGGGUUCGCACCUUUGUUUGUUUGUGGUGGGGUUUUUUUUGCCUCAUACAUUAGAAACUUUUGCAGUUCUGACAGAUGGAAAUUUAAUUGGAGGCCUGUACUGCUGGGAUGUUUACACGGCUGUUUGCAAAUACUCCCAUAUGUGAAAAUCCCUUCUGUGCUUCCCGAGGAAGUCUGGCAAUCAAAGUACGUGUUGGCAUCGUAGGAGACCCAGCUCGUGAGCUAGCAGUACCUCUGAGUUGUAACAGGUUACAUUCCCAAACAUCUACUCACCCUCAGGUGAGCUGGAACAAUUUGUUUCCUCAUCUGGCAUACAGAUGGCAAGCAGGCAAUUCAUUCCUCUUGGCCCUGUGCUCAGCAGCCACUGGAGUGGCUCCCAUCUUAGUGACAUGUGGAGGAAGGAAAAAAAAGAGCAUUUUAAAGGAAAAUAUGAGCAUAAACCCAUGAAAGCUGCUGUGGGAACUUCAGCAGGUGUAGCACUUAAAGCUGCAUUUCUUCCCUUUUGGUUUUACAUUGACUAGAUUACUUACUGACUGUGCUGCUUUUAUGUUACGUUUCCUGCUACAGUUUUCAGUGCACAAGCUGUAGGAGUUUUUUUAGCAAAAAUUUCCCCGUAGUAACUUCAUGGCUAAAAAUUCUUCUGGCCUACCCUUUCAGGCAGAGCAUACAGUGCAAAACAAGUAUGAAAGAGCAAAAAAAUGGCAAUUUCCCAAGCGGGAUUUCACGACCUGCUGCCUCUCUGCGGUAAGCACAGCUCUGCUCGGCUGGACUCGUGUUUCCCUUUUGCACCAGAGCACCUUGCAAAGCAUCAAGUGGGACAUGAGCUGCCCCAGCAGCAUCAAUGUUCGCUGCCUCCAUGUCCUGAAGUGCGGAAGGUGUAUUUUGUAAUGGAGCUCAGUGCUUUCCCUUUGGUUUAGUACUAACAGGUUCUGGGUUUAAGGGAAAGCAGAUCAGAAGUAACUUUGCUUUGAGGACGGUGCUGUGCUGAGAUCUGUGACCGUUUAAAAUCUUUAGCUUUAAUCUUGAUUUAUGUAUAUAUUAAUCCUGACAUGUACGCUAUAAAUUUUCUUUUGCCUUGCAUUGUUCAAACUUGCCUCAAAAUAAGGAUUCUGCCUGCGGGGGACAGGAGUGUAUCUGCGAAGCAAACAGCACUUGAUACAUCUCAGUCCCUUUCUGCUCUUAGUCAGUUGUUUUGGGGAGGGAAUGGGUCAUUAAUAAGAUAAGUCAAAUAGGGCAGCACAUAUAGGUAGUUAUCCCUAGAGAUUAGAAAUAUGCCCGAUUGGACAGAAAAGGAGACUCCUCUGAAACGUUCCCUGAGCAUGCAUCUGGCAUAGCUACACACCUCCUUCAUGGAACAAAGCAGCACAUGGUUGCAAGCUUAUCCUA